GAUGAAGAACGCAGCGAAAUGCGAUAAGUAAUGUGAAUUGCAGAAUUCAGUGAAUCAUCGAAUCUUUGAACGCACAUUGCGCCCACCAGCAUUCUGGCGGGCAUGCCUGUUCGAGCGUCAUUUCAACCCUCGAGCCCCCCCGGGGGCCUCGGUGUUGGGGGACGGCACACCAGCCGCCCCCGAAAUGCAGUGGCGACCCCGCCGCAGCCUCCCCUGCGUAGUAGCACACACCUCGCACCGGAGCGCGGAGGCGGUCACGCCGUAAAACGCCCAACUUUCUUAGAGUUGACCUCGGAUCAGGUAGGAAUACCCGCUGAACUUAAGCAUAUCAAUAAGCGGAGGA
rnacentral:misc_RNA from 1 species